rnacentral:rRNA from 1 species
UAGUUGGUGGGGUAAAGGCCUACCAAGGCGACGAUCUGUAGCGGGUCUGAGAGGAUGAUCCGCCACACUGGAACUGAGACACGGUCCAGACUCCUACGGGAGGCAGCAGUGGGGAAUUUUGGACAAUGGGGGCAACCCUGAUCCAGCCAUGCCGCGUGAGUGAAGAAGGCCUUCGGGUUGUAAAGCUCUUUCGUCCGGGAAGAAAUCGCACAGGCUAAUACUCUGUGUGGAUGACGGUACCGGAAUAAGAAGCACCGGCUAACUACGUGCCAGCAGCCGCGGUAAUACGUAGGGUGCGAGCGUUAAUCGGAAUUACUGGGCGUAAAGCGUGCGCAGGCGGUUUUGUAAGACAGGCGUGAAAUCCCCGGGCUCAACCUGGGAACUGCGCUUGUGACUGCAAGGCUAGAGUACGGCAGAGGGGGGUGGAAUUCCACGUGUAGCAGUGAAAUGCGUAGAGAUGUGGAGGAACACCGAUGGCGAAGGCAGCCCCCUGGGCCGAUACUGACGCUCAUGCACGAAAGCGUGGGUAGCAAACAGGAUUAGAUACCCUGGUAGUCCACGCCCUAAACGAUGUCAACUAGGUGUUGGGUGGGUAAAACCAUUUAGUACCGUAGCUAACGCGUGAAGUUGACCGCCUGGGGAGUACGGCCGCAAGGUUAAAACUCAAAGGAAUUGACGGGGACCCGCACAAGCGGUGGAUGAUGUGGAUUAAUUCGAUGCAACGCGAAAAACCUUACCUACCCUUGACAUGUCCGGAAUCCCUGAGAGAUUGGGGAGUGCCCGAAAGGGAAUCGGAACACAGGUGCUGCAUGGCUGUCGUCAGCUCGUGUCGUGAGAUGUUGGGUUAAGUCCCGCAACGAGCGCAACCCUUGUCGUUAAUUGCCAUCAUUUAGUUGGGCACUUUAGCGAGACUGCCGG